UUUAAGAUGGGUGGGAUGGAUAAUAAAUGAGGGGAAGGGGUGUCCUCUAGACCUUUUAGUCCAAUUUAGUGCACCCCUUUUGGAAUAGAGAACUAAAGGCUUUAGUCCACAUUUUAGUCCACGUGUUUGACACUUUAAGAAUAAAAGAGGCUAAAAUGGGUGGACUAAAAUUUAGUCCAGGUAACAAAAAUUACCGGCAGCAACUUCGGCCGGAUCA
rnacentral:lncRNA from 1 species